ACAAUUUUUUGUAAAAAAAUAUCGAUCCAGCAAUAAAGGAGAUCGAGCCCUUUAGCUUGCCCUUCCCAUAUCUCUCUAACCCUCGCUGCCUCACUCUUCCCUUAUCACCCCUCCCCUCUCAUAUCUCACCAUCGAGCACCACACUACCAUCACCAGCUCCGGCCGAAUCAAACCCACCCCAACCUCAGGCCGCCGUCUCUAACAUUUCAAGCGCAACUUAUGGUCACCGAGUUCGGGUUGUAGGUCUGAACAAAGAAAUAAAAAAAAAAAACAAAGAAAAAAAACAGCAGCGGCGUCGCAUCUGGGUCGUCUCUCCGGCGUCGCGGCUGGUUAUUCUCCGGCGAUCGCGGCUGCUUUCUCUCCGGCGAUCGCAGCUGGGUUCUUUUCCGUAUCGCAGCUGUUUAUCUUGCCGGCAUCGCGGCUGUUCGUUGUUCUUCUCCGGCGUCGAGGUUGAGUCUUUCCAGCGCCAGCUAGGUUCUUUUCCGGCGAGCUUGUGGGUCGCCAUUCUCCGGUGAUUUUUGGCUGGGUUCUUCCGGCAAGCUUGUUGGUCACCAUUCUCCAGCGAUUUUGGCUGGAUUCUUCUCUGAUUCCGGUUGGUUUUCAGCGAUUUUGUCUGGCUUUCUCUCCGGCGAUUUUAUGGUAGCGUUGUUACGCUUGGUUGAAUCUGUCGUUCACUACAAAGUAGAUGUUGCCAGUCUAAAAACUUUUUACUGCAAAGCCUGAACUAAUUCCCAUUUAUUUCUCUCUUAAAAAAAUGACUGGUGUUUCUUCCUCCAAACGUUUCAAACUCUCUAAAGAGACUCCCAAAGCCACGUGGCGUACCAAACGUCUGGAUUUUGAGACUACCUUCGACAUUGAAGGUACGUUUUGCCACAAUAACACGAUUGAAUGGGCAGUGUUAGAAUUUGAUAGGAGGCGUUUGUCCUGCCUUUUUAGACCAGCUGCAGAGGUUGCAUAUCCCCGUAUUGUGCUCUUGUUUUAUCAGAAUAUGGAAUGGUUUAGUGAUGUGUCAGAAAUAUUAGCUACAACCAUUGAUGGUGUCCGAAUUCACUUUGGUGUCUUAAACAUAGCCCAGGCAUUGGGGUGUCCACAUUUUUGCCCUACUGACUUGCUAGCAGAGAAUGGGGAGCUACGUUUUGGCAAAUUCUUGGAAAAACCUACUGUGCAUUCUAUUGUUAAGGAUAUGUGUGACGGGAAGUAUGGUGACAAGAAGAAGAAGAAUUGUGCCAGCAAGUCCUCACUACCUAAGGAUAUGUGGUUUUUCGAUCAGGUUCUGAAACAGAAUGUUUUUCCAAUAGGUCAUAAGGUACAGCGGGGGCAAGAGUUCUUAAUAGCUUUGUAUGCUACCCACACUGGAGCAUGAUUUUAUGUUCCAACUUUCAUCUUUAACCAAAUGCAUAAAUAUUAGAAGCAUUUAGUGGCGAGUGGGGAUUCGAAUGUGAAAAAAUGGAAACUUCCGUUUUCAUAUCUUAUUACCUAGCUCCUUGUCCUUUGGCGCUUCGUGGUUGAUAGUGAUGAGAUCUCUGAGGCUCAAGGGAUGACUUUUGGGCUAGCACAGUGGAACUUAAGCCUUUCUCAUAUGCCUAGUGCUAAGAAGGAAGGUGAUGGCAUGACAGCAGGUGAUAGAGAGGAUCUGAAUGCCCUGGUUGAGGACGUCGUUGGGAGGUCUGAGGAGUAGAUUGCUGAUGGUGCUAGUUAUGAGAUAGCACAGGCUGUGUCACCACAUGCAGAGGAGUCUGUAGGGGUGACUAGGACAGAGUUCAAUGCCAUUGUGGGGCAGUUGAGGACCGAGUUGGUUGAAUUUGAGGAGCAGCGUCGAGUUGAGCAUGCUGAGCUUAUACAGCAGCACACCACUACCCAACGCAUGCUACGAGAUCUAUAUGAGAUUGUUUCAUGAAGUCUCCCACGCAUUUCUACAUUGCCACUUGAUGUAUGAUUUCUCUUGUCUAUGUUAGGCUGUUUAGAAUUUUCUAUUUUGAGUGGAUGGGAUUUUAUGUGGUUAUAGCCAGAUUUUUUGUGAUUUAGAGUUGGCUAUUUUGGGAACCUGUAAUUCUGAGUUUUGACGAUAUAUUUUGGUUUCAUUCAUUCAUAUAUGAUUGCUUUUGGCUUUUGUUGCUCAUAUUCAUAUAAAAAAAAAAAACAAAAAACAAUACUAAAUAAAAAAAUAAUGAAAAUAAAUAAAUAAUAAUAAAAAAUUAAAAAUUGCAAAGUAUCAUUUCGUCUUGCUAGAGACGUUAAAUUUAGCCAUUUUUUUUAUUUUUUAUUUUUUAUUUUUAUUUGUAGGUUGUAUAUACAUGUUCUUUUUCUUUGUUUCUUUUACAAUAAAAAUAAAAAUAAAAAAAACAAACAAAAUAAAAAAUAAAUAAAAAACAACCAAAAGUAUGUGUUACUAGUAUGCCUUUAUGACUGGUUAUGAAUGUUUUAAAAUUUUAUUAAGGGUUUCAUCUCAUAUCUCUUUGCAUUGUGUUAUCUAUUAUUUUGAACUGUAUGAAUUGCUUAUCCCAUAUAAUAUUUGAUGUGAGUUUGCUAGUAUGGUUAUACAGCUAGGUUUUUGAAUCCAAGUUUGGGGGAGACAUCUUUCCUACUGGAUCAUUACCGGAUUUCAUAAUCUUUGCCAUCACGGUAUACUCUUUCCAUUAUUUUUCAUUAUUCUCAUUGCACAUUGAGGACAAUGUACAAUUUAAGUUUGGGGGUAAGGUCAUCAUGAUUCAUUUUAUUUUAAGUUAAGCUUUAAAUGCAUAAUGAGAUUUGAGAUGCGUUUAGCAAUGAUUUCAAACUUUUAAAGUAUAGUGCCUUUGAAAAGCAAGUUGUUAGCGUCUAAUACUUCUUGUAUGCUCUAGGAUGCCAUUUAGGGGUAAAUUUUUAAUUUUUGAUAUCAUAUUUGCUCUUAUGGUACACAUCAUCUUGUUAGUUGAAAAUGUUUUGAGAGUUAAUUCUAGAAUUCUACACUUGCACUUGCGCACACUAACAUUCAAUUUGUGGGGUACAUGCUUAGUUGAUUAUUGUCUUGGUUUAUCCCAAUUGAGUUAGUAUGCUUUGAAAGUUUUCAUUUUUGAUAAAAUGACCUUGCAAAAAAAAAAGAAAUAAAAGCACACACCAAAGGUGACAAAAAAAAAAAAAAAAAAAAAAAAAAAAAAAAAAAAAAACCUGCAUUCUUUUAACAUGUCAACUGAUUAAAAAGGAAGACAAGGAAAGAAUGUAAGAUGUAUAAUUAGUUUGAGUUCGUAACCUAGCCAUUCCGAGUCAUUACGCCCUUAGGAGUGUCUUUACACUUAACGCCCUAAGACCAUUUAGUUUGGGAAUCGUUGGCUCAACCCUUGUUACAUGGGGUGAUUAGAGAGCUUAAGGAACUUGCACAUUGCACAUAGUCAUACAUUAAAAAAAAAAAAAAAAUGAAAUCAAUAAAAAAAAAAAAAUGUUUGAUUGAAUUACAAGGUUCAUUCAAUGUCUUGAGGAUUGGUACUAUAUCUGUAUGCUAAUUUGAGGUAAGGCUAUGCCAUUACUUUAAUUUGCAUUUUGAUGCUGGUUCACUCAAAAAGGAUGAUAGAAUUGAUUCAAUUUGCAUGAUUAACUUGCUUGAUGUGUGGAGGACUAUUUUUACUUACAUGACAUUAAAAUGUUGAGAAUAGCUUAGAAAUGACAGAAAUUUGCAUAUUUGAAGUAGUCUACUUUUAACAUUUGUUUGAUAUGUGUCGUUACUUCUCAAGUAAGAAAGAGUUGUUGAUGUUUGUGGGUAUCAUUUUUAGAAACCCUCACGAGACUUCACUCGUCCACUAGGGGUAACUUAGGGGUUUAAAAGGCUUGUUGCAUAUGCUAAAUGUAACCGUGAUCCCUACGAAAGUGGUGUUAUCUUUAUUUGCUUUAUUAGUUCAUAAUCGCUUAUAUGUUUUUUUCAUUCUCAUAUACUGUAGUUCAUUGUUAGGGACUAGCAAUAUCUAAGUUUGGGGGUGUGAUAAGUGCUUAAAUGCUGCACAUUUCAGCACUUAAAUUAGGGUAUUUUAGUUAUUGCAUCUAUUUUAUUUUUAUGUUUUAGCUCUAAUUUAUGUUUUUGUCAAUUUCAGGUCAAUAAGGUUCAAACAGACUAAUUUUGGUUCACUAAAGCCUUUUUGGAGUCAAGCAAAAACAUUCAGAAAAAGUUCAGAAAAUAGCAAAAAGAAGUCGCAGCCCAUUGCUCGUAUAGUGUGUUUAUUCUUCAAAAGUGGUCAAUCUCAGGCCUUUGAUGAUGUUCCCAAAGAUGAAGAAACAAACCAAUUAGCCUGGGGCCAAAAAUGGAGCUAAAUAAGGCUUAAAGGAAAUUUCCAACUCUGGGGGAUCGAUCCCCCACUAUUCACAGAACUAAAAAUGCCCUUGGGGAUCGAUCCUCAAGCCUGUGGGAUCAAUCCCCUAAUACCUGGCAGCAUUACGGGAUUUUCUUAUUUUGGGCUUUUUUUUGUAACUUAUGGGCUUUAACAGGGUUUGUUACUUAAGACCCAGUGAGCCAUUAGUUUAGGGUUAGUUUUUAUUUUAUUUAAGGAGUUUUUAAUUUAUUAAUUAAAGGAGGAUUUUAGGUUUUAUUUUUUCUGUAUCGAUAUAUUCUCUCUAGAAAAGCACGCGAAAGAGGAGAAACAAAGAACGGGCUAAGGUUUGGAAGAGGAAGCUCAGAGAUGAUGAAGGAGAUGAUGGGAUUGUUCCGUUUUCGAUUCCGUCAAUCAUGAGUGGCUGAUUCUUCUACUUAGGGUUGGAUAAACCCUAAGCAUGUAACCUAAUCUCUCUCUUUUCACUUUUUGGGGAUGAAUUUGUGUAAUUAGUGUAUAGCCUUGAAUGUUUAUGAAUAAAUUUUUUCAUUUGGUUAUC